rnacentral:rRNA from 1 species
GACGAACGAUGGCGGCGUGCCUAAUACAUGCAAGUCGAACGAACAGAUGCGGAGCUUGCUGCUCUGACGUUAGCGGCGGGCGGGUGAGUCACACGUGUAUCACCUACCUAUCAUACUGGGAUCACUUCGGGACACCGGCGCUAAUCCCGUAUGAUCUCUUGAACCGCAUGGUUCAAUAGUGAAAGUCGGCUUUGCUGUCACUUAUCGCUGGAUCUGCGCCGCAUUAGCUAGUUGGUAAGGUAACGGCUUACCAAGGCGACGAUGCGUAGCCGACCUGAGAGGGUGAUAGGCCGCCCUGGAACUGAGACGCGGUCCAGACUCCUGCGGGAGGCAGCAGUAGGGAACCGGCCGCAAAGGGCGAAAGCCUGACGGAGCAACGCCGAGUGAGUGAUGAAGGUCUUCGGAUCGUAAAGCUCUCUUAUUAGGGAAGAACAAAUGUGUAAGGAACUAUGCACGUAUUGACGGUACCUAAUCAGAAAGCCACGGCUAACUACGUG